CUAUUGGUAUUCCACAUCAUAAUAUCAUGGACAAAAGAGAAGAACUACAUAUCCCAGAGGACCUCACGGUCAGAGAAGGAAGAUACAUCACGGAAGAUACAUCAUCUGGUUGCGCGUGGUUUUUUUUUCUUCACUUUCACUUGCUACCAGGAGAGGAGUGGGUGUGCUCCCAAGCCGUCCACCUUCAUCAAGGAGUCCUGGUUGUGGGACUUGGGGCCUUUGCUGUGGUCCAAGAGCAAUUCCACAGCAAAGAAGGGGUGGCCAUGGUUCGAAGACCUGUCUUUCAUCUGGACAUCAGUGCACAGUGGCUGCAGGACUUCUGGUCUCCCACUGAGAUCAUCCCUGGUGAGAAGGCAGCAGCUACCUUCUUCCCCUUCUGGCCCAAUGUCCGGCAGGGUGUGUUCUCCCCACUCUUUGGAAAGGGCUGGGAGAAGCAGAGAACUGUCUGCCAAGGUGCCGGUACAGCUCAAGUUCCUCCAAAAGAACCUGCACCCCAAGAGCUGUUUCUCUAAAGGACCUUUUCUCUGGGAUUUGGUUACAAAUGUUGCAUGGAAAUGUGGCUUGCUGUGGCAGUGAGGAUGUUCCUUCUCCUUACAGACGAUGUCAAGAUGGAGCCGCUGAACUACCGGCAGCUCUUGCAAGCUACCGCCAUCCUGCUGCACGUGGUGCAGAGCUGCAUGCAAGAGACCAUCCUCUUGUACUGUCUUCUCCUGAGCAACAAGGUGCACAUCCCAUUCGCCUUCCAUGGGAUCGGCAUCCUGCUGUGUGAAGAUAACCUCCUUUGCAUGAGGUUCUAUCACAGCUGUGUGAUGAUGGAGGGGACUGCAAGCCUGGUUGCACUGCUCCACAGUGUAAGCUGAGGGGGUUUUGAGGGCUGCCUCCAUGUCUCUGGGAAUCCUAUGGAAGAGUGUACCAUCAGGUCACCGCCACCAGCCUGGAUGCGGCAGGCCACUCACAUGCCUUUCCCCAUGCUCACCCCCACUGCUUUCUGUAUUGGCAAAGGGGUGUCCUGGAUCCUUGCCCCUGCAGAAAGCCUGGCAGAAAGUGUUCCUGCACGGCCUCAGUAUUUUGCCGUGCGGCUCCUUCAGAGCAGAACAAAUAUCUUCUAAUGUUCGUGGAAGAGGCUUGGGCAGAUGGUUCUGGAGAGACGCUCUCUUUUGGCACAGGAGACAGUUUUUUUUCCUGCCAAUGAGAGUCAUGAGAAAACUGCCUUGGAAACCUGCAUCCAGCAGGUCUGCAUUCCUUUGCAGAGAAUUUGGCUGAAACAUCCCGCGGGCUUCAGCCCAGAGACCACCGC
ensembl:lncRNA